AAAAAAAAAACAUAAUUCCAACUCUCGGCCAGGCCCGGCCCGCUGCGGAAGCAGUAGAAGCGGCUGUUUAGGGUCCAAACGUAUGUUUGGUCCGGCGCUGCUCUCGGCCCCAUCUGCUUACCUUUAGCCAAGAGGACCUUUUUUGAACAGUCCGGUCCUCACAAGGAUAUCUAUCUUCCAAGGGAUUAUUACACUGGGUGAGCAUGCUCUGUAGUUAGAUCAUUAAAUGCUUCAAUUAGAUCGUGUCUCUCUAUCUCAUCGUUUUCUUUUUGCUUCGUAAAGCACCUUAUGUGAAUCAUGUUUGUCUUCAAUCACUUUUUCUUAUUCAUAGUUAUUCCUACAUCUACAGCUCAUACAUUUGAUACCCUGAAUCCAUUUUCUCCUUGGGGGUUUCCAAAGAUUUAGGUUUCUGUCUACGUUCGGCGGUUGGUGCAGGCUACGCGUCGUAGGACCGUUUUUAUCUGAUUCUUAAUCAUCCUCCAACACCAAUGAAAUAAUUAGACUUGUUUGGAAGAUGUUCUAGAUGGUAGUGAAGGGUUGUUGGAAGGAAGUUGAGUUUUGAAUUCAAGUUUGAAGAUGUAUCAAGUCUUGGACAAGUCAAGUCUUUAUACUGAAAUUUGCAAGGUUUGAAGGCAAGUCCAUGCAUGCUUUUUCUAUGUUUAUCAUGAUGGCUUCUUGGCACAGCGAUAUAUCUUCCUUGGUUACUGUGUGUUUUGGUUCCGUAGUUUAAGAUUUUUUUUUUUUUUUUUUUAUUAUUAUUGGAUUUGUUGAAGAGAUCCAAGGGGGUUUGGUUUCAUUCAGUAUGUGGAUCCUGCUGAGGCAAAACAUCACAUGGAAGGCUAUCUGAAAUCAGAACGAGGGAUCGAGGUGGAAAAGGUGGAGAUUCUUCGUCUCUUCAACCCUGAAAGAAGACGUUCUCCUCCCCCCUAAAAGACAUCAAUCUAGUCUGUCUCACCUCAGGAAAGACGACACUAGAAGGAGACCUCAUACUCUCGCUCACCACUAAAAAGGGUUCGCAGUGGAAGUCAUGAGAGAGUGAAGAGCCACAGCAGGAGCCGGGAGCUACACGCCUGAACAAGCCAAGAGCCCGGUCCUUUAGGCAGAGCAGGAGUAGAAGUCCAAUCCCCUCGUGGAGAAAGAAAUAGUGACGGUUCUCCAAUCCAGUGAUUUAUUACACAAACCCCAUAUGUCUCUCUACACACCAGUUCUGCAGUCUUGUUUGUUAGCUAGCUCUACGUUAUCAGAUAGAUAUUCGUUUGCCACUAGGUUGAAUUCUCUUAACUUUUAAGUCUUUUUUUGUUUUGAUAAGUUUUCUAAGACAGCUCCUCUUGUGUUAUUGUUUAAUGUUUGAUUCAUGAAUGAACUUAAAAGACAUGACAAUGAGAUUCCAUGUGCUUUUUUUGUCAUCUUAUCUCUCUUGUUAUGGUGAAAGAAGAUGGUCCUAUUAGGGAAUGUGGGAGCGUUUUUGACG